UCCCAGGUGGUCUAGCGGUUAGGAUUCGGUGCUUUCACCACUGCAGCCUGGGUUCAAUCCCCAGUAUGGGAA
rnacentral:tRNA from 1 species